rnacentral:tRNA from 1 species
GUGCCCUUAGUUUAGUUGGUAGAACACGGGUUUCCAAAACCCUAGGGGUGGGUUCAAGUCCUACAGGGCAUG